rnacentral:rRNA from 1 species
GCCCGGAACCGUCUGCCGCGUGCAGGGAUGAAGGCCCUAAGGGUCGUAAACUGCUUUUAUUCGGGAAGAAAAAGUCUGUUUCCACAGACCUUGACGGUACCGAUUGAAUAAGGACCGGCCAACUCCGUGCCAGCAGCCGCGGUAAUACGGAGGGUCCAAGCGUUAUCCGGAUUCACUGGGUUUAAAGGGUGCGCAGGCGGCUAAGUAAGUCAGUGGUGAAAGCCUUCGGCUCAACCGGAGAAUUGCCAUUGAAACUACUUAUCUUGAGUGCAGUAGAGGUAGGCGGAAUGUAGCAUGUAGCGGUGAAAUGCAUAGAUAUGCUACAGAACACCGAUAGCGAAAGCAGCUUACCACAUUGCAACUGACGCUGAGGCACGAAAGCAUGGGUAGCAAACAGGAUUAGAUACCCUGGUAGUCCAUGCCGUAAACUUUGAACACUCGGAGUUUGUCGCCUAGCGAUAAGCUCCCUAGCGAAAGCGUUAAGUGUUCCACCUGGGGAGUACGGCCGCAAGGCUAAA